GUAACGCGUGAGUAACCUGCCUUUCAGAGGGGGAUAACGUUCUGAAAAGAAACGCUAAUGCCGCAUAACAUCAAUUUAUCGCAUGAUAGGUUGAUCAAAGGAGCAAUCCGCUGGAAGAUGGACUCGCGUCCGAUUAGCCAGUUGGCGGGGUAACGGCCCACCUAGUCGACGAUCGGUAGCCGGACUGAGAGGUUGAACGGCCACAUUGGGACUGAGACACGGCCCAGACUCCUACGGGAGGCAGCAUG
rnacentral:rRNA from 1 species